rnacentral:rRNA from 1 species
UACGAAGGGGGCUAGCGUUGCUCGGAAUCACUGGGCGUAAAGCGCACGUAGGCGGGUCGUUAAGUCGGGGGGUGAAAUCCUGGAGCUCAACUCCAGAACUGCCUUCGAUACUGGAGAGCUCGAGUCCGGGAGAGGUGAGUGGAACUGCGAGUGUAGAGGUGAAAUUCGUAGAUAUUCGCAAGAACACCAGUGGCGAAGGCGGCUCACUGGCCCGGUACUGACGCUGAGGUGCGAAAGCGUGGGGAGCAAACAGG